rnacentral:rRNA from 1 species
GCUGGCGGCGUGCUUACACAUGCAAGUCGAGCGGAGUACCCAACGGAAGUUUUCGGACGGAAGAUGGAAUUACUUAGCGGCGGACGGGUGAGUAACGCGUGGGCAACCUGCCCUGUACAGAGGAAUAACAUUGGGAAACCAGUGCUAAUACCUCAUAUACCCUUCGGGUGGCAUCACCUGAAGGGGAAAGAUUUAUCGGUACAGGAUGGGCCCGCGUCUGAUUAGUUAGUUGGUGAGGUAACGGCUCACCAAGACGAUGAUCAGUAGCCGACCUGAGAGGGUGAUCGGCCACACUGGAACUGAGACACGGUCCAGACUCCUACGGGAGGCAGCAGUGGGGAAUAUUGCACAAUGGGGGAAACCCUGAUGCAGCAACGCCGCGUGAGCGAUGAAGGCCCUCGGGUCGUAAAGCUCUGUCCUAAGGGAAGAUAUAGACGGUACCUUAGGAGGAAGCCCCGGCUAACUACGUGCCAGCAGCCGCGGUAAUACGUAGGGGGCAAGCGUUAUCCGGAAUUACUGGGCGUAAAGGGUGCGUAGGCGGUCUAAUAAGUCAGAGGUGAAAGACUAUUGCUCAACGAUAGCAAGCCUUUGAAACUAUUGGACUUGAGUGCAGGAGAGGAGAGUGGAAUUUCUUAGUGUAGCGGUGAAAUGCGUAGAUAUUAGAAGGAACACCCAGUGGCGAAGGCGACUCUCUGGACUGCAACUGACGCUGAGGCACGAAAGCGUGGGGAGCAAACAGGAUUAGAUACCCUGGUAGUCCACGCCGUAAA